UUAUCAUCUGCUGAGGGUGGAGCUGAGGGUGGAAGGGGAGUGAGCUGACGCUCGGAAGGUGUCUUGAGAUUAUCAUCUGCUGAGGGUGGAACUGAGGGUGGAAGGGGAGUGAGCAGACACUCGGGAGGUGUCUUGAGGCUCAGGGAGUUAUCAGUUAUAGAAUGUUGUUGAGUUGGAGGAGGUGGCUGGUGGCCCAUCCUGUUUUUUAAAGUUUCAGCUGUGAGGU
rnacentral:lncRNA from 1 species